GCGGGUAUCGUAUAAUGGCUAUUACACUAGGUUGCCAAUCUAGUGAUACGGGUUCGAUUCCCGUUACCCGCUCAA
rnacentral:tRNA from 1 species